UGCGUGAGUAAUAAAUAACAAAUUAUGUGGAAAAUAUUUGUUAUGUAUUGACUUUCUAUUUCAAGAAGUGACCUAUUAAAACAGGACGUCGAAGUAAGGGAAUAUGAUUUAUUGAAUUGAGACGAAAAGAGUAUUAUUAUUAUUAUCCUCUUUUUUCAUAUGAGUAUUAAUUUCUUUUUGCUAAAUUGGGUGGGAUCCACCCACUUUGCUAUAGGGAUAAAUUUACAUUCACUUCAUUUUUAUAGGCACUUUUAUUCAUUUUUGGUAUUGGAAGUAUUAGACUUAAAAGCAUGCAAAAUCGCUCUUUGGUGAAUGGAGAGAUAAGGUGGUUCUUGGAGUGGAUGGGGAACUAACUACUAACAUCUAACAUGACUUUGCCCGAUCAAAAAAAAAAAAAAUACGCUCUUUGGUGAGAAUUUUGGAGUUUAAUUCCCACCCAAGUGCGAAUUAUUUCACAAUAAAUAUUUAUUUAUAAUUCGUUGUAAUAUUCAAAGGAAAAAUAUUACUGUGUGAUUAAACAUACGAGAUUCGGCGUAGCAAAUGGAAAAGAAAAGCAUAAAAAUAAAAUAAUAAAUUACUACGAGCAUUUAUUGGACGGACUUCUCUAGAAGCUUUGGACUCAAAACUUUAGACAAUUACAGUUAAUUUUAGUUAAUUAAUAAAACUAAUUCAAAGUAAAAUUUUAACCCAAACGAAAACGAAGGUAAAAUUCCCUUAAUUCGACUAUUAACUAUAUAACUCAGCAACCAAAACCCCCAAAAUUAUCCUAAUCUACUAUUCACACUCUCGAUCAACCCAAACAAAAUUUAAAAAUAAAAAAUAGAAUUAAAUCAUGUCAAAGCAUCUGUGUGUUUUCUUCUAGUGACUCGAAUGUAGCAAUAAACCGCGGCGAAAGUGGCGGUGACGAGGCCGCCGAUGAUGACUCCGCCGCCCGCCACCGACUUAUCCGACGAGUGGUGCUUCCCGAUCUUCCUGCUCUCCCACUCCGCCGGCGCCUCCGCCUCCGACUCCGUCUCUCUCUCCGCCAGCGGAGGAUCCGCUAUUGUCAUCUCCGGCUCCGGAUUCCGGAGCAGAGCCGACGGAUCCGGGUUGGCGGGGGUUCCGUCAGCCCGGGCGGCGUGGAGCGUCAGGAGAAAUGCAGAGAGCGUGAGGAGAGCGAGCAGGAAUCUGUUGCCCAUGACGUGUUCGACAAAUGCCAGUGUGAUCCCAGGCGUUUCUGGAGCUGCGAGAGAUUGCGUGAUUUUUCUAUUUAUAAUUUCCUUUUUUUUUGCGAGAAAAGAGAUGUGAGAUUUUCAGUUGAACUGAGCUGCGAAAACUGGAGAUCUGUAUUUAUAGAAGGAGAUUUUUUCGGGCCGGGUCGGGUCGAACCGGGAAGAAAUGCAGUGUUUUUUGAAAGUCGUGUUUGGGGUGAAUUUUCCAGAGAAGCUUCAUAGUUCAUAAGCACGCUGCCUAUUGAGGGUAUAAUUGUCAUUUUCAACAUAGUCAAGGAAGCUAUUCUUUCAUUUUCCUCUCUUUUUGUCUUCGAAUAAGUGUCAUAUUUUAGAAAAUGACUGAAUCUUUGAAUAAAUAUUUUAUUUUAAAAUUUUAUGCAAAAAUGAUAUGACUGUUAAAUUUGUCCUUGAUUAAUUUUUGAAUACUACUCCAUUUGUCCCACUUAAGUGACUCAAAAUUUUUCGACACGAAAAUUAAGGAGAAUGUGUAAAUUGGUUAAAACUGGUAGGAUUUACACUUUUUUAAGAGUUAAGAUUUUUCAUUUGUGGAAACAUGCCAUUUAUAAUGGGACGGAAAGAGUAUUAUAAUUCUACAUAUGCAUCAUAUCUCAUGCAGCAAUUAAAUAGAUAGAAUAGAUGGUUAAAUUUAGUCUUGUUCGAUUUUUCGAUAUUAUUAGAGUGUGCUUCGUAGCCUAUAUAAAGCAAGACAUAUAAAUAAUUAUGCCUGAGAUAAUUAAUCGUACGACACAAUUAUUAUUUAUUUUAUACUAUUUAUUGUAUUAUUAAUCUUAUUUUUAUUAACCAAUUCGUUUUUAAACAUGACUACCAAACAACGGCUUAUAAUUUUGCAGAUGCUUUGCAUCUCAUGUAGCAAUUAGAUAGAUACAAUAUAUUUUUAUGGAUGAAAACAUUUACAUAAUCAUAGAUUAAAUCUCUUUUUGUUUGGAUACACGCACUUAAGAUCUUUCAAUCAUUUGAUGGUCGUUCUACUAACUAAUCUAGACAAACAAACUUAUCAUACAUAAAUUUAUAAGCUAAAAUACAUUAUUUUAUUUCUACGAGGAAANUGAGAGCACGAAAGUAAGACUGCAGUAGUAUUGCGAGUGAAGAUAGCGUGUGUUUACAAGGUGCGUAUGCAUGGCUAUUUAUAGAUUACAUGUUGAGGGAAAAAUAGUAAAUUCAUUGUUAAAACAUGCACCUCGCGUGGUCGAGGGCAUAAUAGUAAAUUUGCCCUUAGACGGGAGAUUUAUCCGCUCUUUUGGUGAUCUCUCUGGCGAUGGCCAUUUAUCUGACAAAGGCCAUUCCUCUGGCGGGGGUGACUUCUCUGACGGAAGCCACUUCUCUGGUGAAGACCGUUCCUCUGACCAAGACCGUUCCUUAUGCUCUGCACAUAUUACUCCUCAUCACUAACAUUUUUAAUCAAUUUACACCUUCUUAAUUUCUGUGUUGAAAAUAUUGAACCACUUAUAAUGGGACCGAAUGAAAUAUUUUUUAAGAAACAUUUCAUAAUAUUAUUAUUCACAAAAUAGCCACAGUUGUCCAUGACCACGACUCAAAUUCGACAAAGAGUACUAUGCUUGGCUACAAGGUUUGAAUACGGAUAUAAGAAAGAAAAAGUUUAUAAUACAUUAUAAAUAUAAAUAUAUAUAUAUAUACACAUAUAUACAUACACAUAUAUAUUCAAAAACACAUAUAUAUUCAAAGAGUAGAAGAAAGAAAUAAAUAAGAUAUAAUUAUGCGUGAAAUAUAAUAAAUAAUAAAUUAUGUGGAAAAUAUUUGUUAUGUAUUGACUUUCUAUUUAAAGAAGUGACCUAUUAAAACGGGAAGUCGAAAUAAGGAAAUAUGAUUUAUUGAAUUGAGACGAAAAGAGUAUUAUUAUUAUUAUCCUCUUUUUUCAUAUGAGUAUUAAUUUCUUUUUGCUAAAUUGGGUGGGAUCCACCCACUUUGCUAUAGGGAUAAAUUUACAUUCACUUCAUUUUUAUAGGCACUUAACUUUUAUUCAUUUUUGGUAUUGGAAGUAUUAGACUUAAAAGCAUGCAAAAUCGCUCUUUGGUGAGAAUUUUGGAGUUUAAUUCCCACCCACGUGCGAAUUAUUUCACAAAUAAAUAUUUAUUUAUAAUUGAUACUAUCACUAAACUAAAAAUAUUACUGUAUGAUUUAAUAUACGAGAUUCGGCGUAGCAAAGGGAAAAUAUAAAAGUAAUAAAUUACUACGAGCAUUUAUUGGACGGACUUCUCUAGAAGCUUUGGACUCAAAACUUUAGACAAUUACAGUUAAUUUUAGUUAAUUAAUAAAACUAAUUCAAAGUAAAAUUUUAACCCAAACGAAAACGAAGGUAAAAUUCCCUUAAUUCGACUAUUAACUAUAUAACUCAGCAACCAAAACCCCCAAAAUUAUCCUAAUCUACUAUUCACACUCUCGAUCAACCCAAACAAAAUUAAAAAAAAAAUAAAAAAACAAUAAAUCAUGUCAAAGCAUCAGUGUGUUUUCUUCUAGUGACUCGAAUGUAGCAAUAAACCGCGGCGAAAGUGGCGGUGACGAGGCCGCCGAUGAUGACUCCGCCGCCCGCCACCGACUUAUCCGACGAGUGGUGCUUCCCGAUCUUCCUGCUCUCCCACUCCGCCGGCGCCUCCGCCUCCGACUCCGUCUCUCUCUCCGCCAGCGGAGGAUCCGCUAUUGUCAUCUCCGGCUCCGGAUUCCGGAGCAGAGCCGACGGAUCCGGGUUGGCGGGGGUUCCGUCAGCCCGGGCGGCGUGGAGCGUCAGGAGAAAUGCAGAGAGCGUGAGGAGAGCGAGCAGGAAUCUGUUGCCCAUGACGUGUUCGANNNNN
rnacentral:lncRNA from 1 species